rnacentral:rRNA from 1 species
AUUGAACGCUGGCGGCAGGCUUAACACAUGCAAGUCGAGCGAGCGGCGGACGUGUGAGUCAUGUCUGGGAAACUGCCUGAUGGAGGGGGAUAACUACUGGAAACGUUAGCUAAUAACGCAUACCAUCAGAUGUGCCCAGAGGGGUUUGGCUAUUAGGUGGGGUAAUGGCUCACCUAGGCGACGAUCCCUAGUUGGUCUGAGAGGAUGACCAGCCACACUGGAACUUAGACACGGUCCAGACUCCUACGGGAGGAAGCAGUGGGGAAUAUUGCACAAUGGGCGCAAGCCUGAUGCAGCCAGGCCGCGUGUGUGAAGAAGGCCUUCGGGUUGUAAAGCACUUUCAGCGAGGAGGCGUUACUCGCAGAAGAAGCACCGGCUAACUCCGUGCCAGCAGCCGCGGUAAUAC